UCCAAGCACACCUUAUGAAAAAGAUGGCCACAAGAUAAGCAAUUUAUCACCGAGUCUGGCUCGAAUUGAGUCAAGCAAACUGGGCAGUCAUGCUGAGACUGUUUACAGCUACACACUGCAUCAAAUCUUGUUGCAGGACUCCUACUCCGGAACUCCCUAAUGUAAGUGUCUGCUGGAGGUAAAGGAAAUUCAAAUGAAUCAGCGGGGUCUUCACUGUAAUCUGGUGAGGAGGUUGAAGAUGAUGAUGAGGAGAAGGAUGAUAAACGGAUGCCAACCAUGUGAAGGAUCGACCGGACUAUCCCUUUGAAAAUGGAGAUUGAUAAGGCAGUGUUUACCAAAAGCACACAGAGUACUCCUUCAGAUGGGGCUGGAAGGCUUGAGAGACCCAUUUUCUUGGAUCAAUU
rnacentral:misc_RNA from 1 species